UACGGAGGGUGCAAGCGUUAUCCGGAUUCACUGGGUUUAAAGGGUGCGUAGGAGGGCAGGUAAGUCAGUGGUGAAAUCUCCGAGCUUAACUUGGAAACUGCCGUUGAUACUAUCUGUCUUGAAUCCCGUGGAGAUGAGCGGAACAUGUCAUGUAGCGGUGAAAUGCUUAGAUAUGACAUAGAACACCAAUUGCGAAGGCAGCUCGUUACACGAAGAUUGACUCUGAGGCACGAAAGCGUGGGGAUCAAACAGG
rnacentral:rRNA from 1 species